rnacentral:rRNA from 1 species
GGGAGACGAGGUCUUUUUCCGCCCCCCGCCUCUUGUGGGGUGCGUGGUUGCCUUUUUUUCCUCCUCUUCUUCUCCUCAUCCUCAUCUUUUCCCUGCUUUCCCACGUGUGUUGGGAGAGUGGAGGAGGAAGUGUGUGUGUUUGGAGGAAGAAGGUGCAGUGGGGGAAAUAUGGUGAGGCUUGUGUGCGUACGGAGGUGUGUUGGUCACGGCUCUCACAACGUGUCGCGAUGGA